rnacentral:tRNA from 1 species
GCCCAUAUAGCUCAGCAGGUAGAGCACGUCCUUGGUAAGGACGAGGUCAUCGGUUCAAGUCCGAUUGUGGGCU